CCAUGAUGCUGCAGAAAAAUGUAUAAAGGUGUGGAACUAUCGUAAUCUGUUGGAGAGUGGAAUUCUAGAUGAUUCUGUUUUUAUUCAACCAUCUCUGGGGGCCAUUUAGUCCUUCACUGCAUUCAUACGCCCAGAAAAUUUCAACAAAAAUUUAAAAAAUAUUUCGAAACCGCCUCAUGGAGGCUAAAAAUUCCACCGUGGGAAAUGAACACUUUGAGGGGACUUACUUACUUAUGGCCCAGGACUGGUAUUGGUCAAUCACGAUUUCCUUGUAGUUGGGGCCCAAGUUUUCAUCAGCCAGGGAAAAUGGUGUAAUGAAGGUGACCUCAUGACCUCGCUUCACCAACUUCCUAACAAUGGAGUUGGCCAUCAUGAAGUGGCUUUUGGCCGGAAAGAAGAAGGCUGCCAGAACCCGAUACGCAUGACCUGAGGCCAGGUGUUGGAGGAACACGAGGCUCAAUAUAAGUAUUUGCAGGGAACUCCUAAUCUUCUGUAAUAUUUUGAAAUUUAAUGAUAAGAUUGUAUAAGCCAAAGGUGUAUCAACAUGUUUUAAGUUUAGGUUACAUCAGUUUGCUAAGAGAUAAUGCUCACUUGUCAUUGCAAGCUUGCAUUUUUCCACCUGUUGGUGCAUCGGCAUCUGGGAGUCCAGAUUAAAAAUUUUAAAUAAAUAAUAAAAACAAUUGAUAGAUUAAAAGAAA